AAACCAGUUCAUGCGCCAGGAACCCCUCCCCAGAAAUGUCAAGUCUUCAUGGUUUAGAAAGCUCCAGCCUUUAGGAAAUCCAGCCUUUCAUCUAGGCUGAACCGAUGUCCCUUCGCCUCAGCCUGCGUCACAAAGAUUGGAUCCUCAUCUGCUCAUCCACUUCCUAGUUAAUAUCACCUAUAAAGCAGGAACACCUGGCCUAACAGCACAGACCUGCUGAAGCCACUCCUUUGCCAGAAACGUCUAGUAGCUGACUUUAGCCACGAGGCCAGGAUGACGAAUAGCAUGUGGGCCGUCACUCCCACUUCCACCUUCCAUGGCUUUCUUGCCCACUAAAGAUGCUUCCGGUCUUAGGCACCUUCCCAUCACAGCUCUCCAGGGAGCCAAUAUUUAUGGUGCUUUCCACUCAAGCCUCGGUGUCCUCCUCUAUAAAUCAGAGAUAACGGAAGUGCCCACUUCAUGGGCUUCUUGUGAGCAGUCCGUGAGGUCAGAGUUCACCACUGCGCCUGGCACGUGGUAAGCAUUUCAUCUCAUUGGCUGUCACUGUUAUCAUCACAGGUCUACUUAGUACACUCAGGCACUAAAC